UUUUGUAUUUGUCUAAUAGAUAUCCUCUGCCCAGUUGUCGCAACGGCCAAAGUAUACUGACUUUGCUAAGGUAGCAUAAUUAAUUGCCAUCUAAUUAAUGGAUUGUUUGAAUGAGGGAAUAAGUUUGAUAGUAUAAAUAGUAAAUAAAAAAUUUAUAAAUUUAUUGAAAAUAAUAAUAUUAUAAUUUAAGACGAUAAGACCCUUAAACCUAUUUAGAAUUUGUUGGGGAAACAAAAUUAGAAAUUGAUUUCACAUCUUUUUUAAAAAUAUAGGUACUUUAGGGAUAACAGCAUAAUAUUUUUUUUGUAGAUCUUAUAUGAAAAAAAGAGUAUGACCUCGAUGUUGAACUAGAAUAAGAUCUCGCUGUAGAAGGUGAGGUUACAGGACUGUUCGCCCUUAUAUUUCU
rnacentral:rRNA from 1 species